rnacentral:rRNA from 1 species
CUACGGGCCGCUGCAGUGGGGAAUAUUGCACAAUGGGCGCAAGCCUGAUGCAGCCAUGCCGCGUGUAUGAAGAAGGCCUUCGGGUUGUAAAGUACUUUCAGCGGGGAGGAAGGGAGUAAAGUUAAUACCUUUGCUCAUUGACGUUACCCGCAGAAGAAGCACCGGCGAACUCCGUGCCAGCAGCCGCGGUAAUACGGAGGGUGCAAGCGUUAAUCGGAAUUACUGGGCGUAAAGCGCACGCAGGCGGUUUGUUAAGUCAGAUGUGAAAUCCCCGGGCUCAACCUGGGAACUGCAUCUGAUACUGGCAAGCUUGAGUCUAGUAGAGGGGGGUAGAAUUCCAGGUGUAGCGGUGAAAUGCGUAGAGAUCUGGAGGAAUACCGGUGGCGAAGGCGGCCCCCUGGACGAAGACUGACGCUCAGGUGCGAAAGCGUGGGGAGCAAACAGGAUUAGAUACCCUCGUAGUC